UACAGAGGGUGCAAGCGUUGUUCGGAAUUACUGGGCGUAAAGCGAGCGUAGUCGGUAUUGAGAGUCAUAGGUGAAAUCCCAGGGCUUAACCCUGGAACUGCCCGUGAGACCUCAGUACUAGAGUGUGAGAGGGGAUAGUGGAAUACCAAGUGUAGCGGUGAAAUGCGUAGAGAUUUGGUGGAACACCGGUGGCGAAGGCGGCUAUCUGGCUCACAACUGACGAUCAGGCUCGAAAGCGUGGGGAGCAAAC
rnacentral:rRNA from 1 species